rnacentral:rRNA from 1 species
UGUAAGCGUAUACCAAAGUUGUUGCAGUUAAAACGCUCGUAGUCGGAAUUUGGCAGUUCCGGAUGUGUGCACGUCGUGUGCGCACUUCGCGGGGAUUGCUUUUGUGGUCUUGCGUAGGAUGAGGCACUUUUAUUAGUGAACGUCCUCACGCAACCACUUUUUACUGUGAGAAAAUCAGAGUGCUCAAAGCAGGCAUUUGCCGUGAAUGUAUUAACAUGGAAUAAUAGAAUAGGACUUGGUUCUAUUUUGUUGGUUUGUUGGGACUGAGUAAUGAUUAAGAGGGACAGUUGGGGGCAUUUGUAUUUCGGUGCUAGAGGUGAAAUUCUUAGAUUACCGAAAGACAAACUGCUGCGAAAGCGUCUGCCAAGGAUGUUUUCAUUGA